rnacentral:ncRNA from 1 species
UGAAAAGCGUAGAAGAGGAUAAGUAGUUUUAUGACAGGCAUUCACAGAGAGCCGGACCUGCUGAAAACCGGUAAUGCCCUCUUAAAAUGAACUCACCUCUGAGCGCAGUCCUGAAAGAUGAUCGAUUAGGGGCUGCCGGGUGUUCUUCACCCGUUAUCAAAACGGACAGCAUUUGGCUGUUCAUGAGUGCACGCACUAUAAGCGUGAAUCAGGGUGGUACCGUGGAACAGGUUAUCAAAGCCUUUUCAUCCCUUAU